UGCAAUUGAUUGUGGUCAGGAAUUGGAAUCACGUGGUCCAGAGUCAGCUCAGCAGGGACUGUGGAUAAGGCUUUCACUGGUAGUUCUUUGACAGCCACAUGAUAGGUAUCUAAAUGCUCAUUCACUUUUGGAUACC
rnacentral:lncRNA from 12 species